rnacentral:rRNA from 1 species
CAGUCGCCGCGGGAAUACAGAGGGUGCGAGCGUUAAUCGGAUUUACUGGGCGUAAAGCGUGCGUAGGCGGCUAAUUGAGUCGGAUGUGAAAUCCCCGAGCUUAACUUGGGAAUUGCAUUCGAUACUGGUUAGCUAGAGUGUGGGAGAGGAUGGUAGAAUUCCAGGUGUAGCGGUGAAAUGCGUAGAGAUCUGGAGGAAUACCGAUGGCGAAGGCAGCCAUCUGGCCUAAUACUGACGCUGAGGUACGAAAGCAUGGGGAGCAAACAGGAUUAGAUACCCCGGUAGUCCCUGUCUCUUAUAC